GUGCUCGCUUCGGCAGCACAUAUACUAAAAUUGGAACCACACAGAGAAGAUUAGCAUGGCCCCUGGGCAAGGAUGACAUGCAAAUUCGUGAAGCAUUCCAUAUGCUU
rnacentral:snRNA from 1 species